AGCGGAGGAAAAGAAACCAACAGGGAUUGCCCCAGUAACGGCGAGUGAAGCGGCAACAGCUCAAAUUUGAAAUCUGGCCCCCAGGGUCCGAGUUGUAAUUUGCAGAGGAUGAUUUUGGCGAGGUGCCUUCCGAGUUCCCUGGAACGGGACGCCACAGAGGGUGAGAGCCCCGUCUGGUUGGACGCCGAGCCUAUGUAAAUCUCCUUCGACGAGUCGAGUAGUUUGGGAAUGCUGCUCUAAAUGGGAGGUAUAUGUCUUCUAAAGCUAAAUAUUGGCCAGAGACCGAUAGCGCACAAGUAGAGUGAUCGAAAGAUGAAAAGCACUUUGAAAAGAGGGUUAAAUAGUACGUGAAAUUGUUGAAAGGGAAGCGCUCAUGACCAGACUUGGGCCCGGUGAAUCAUCCAGCGUUCUCGCUGGUGCACUUUGCCGGGCUCAGGCCAGCAUCAGUUUGCCCCGGGGGAUAAAGGCUUUGGGAAUGUGGCUCCUCCGGGAGUGUUAUAGCCCAUUGCACAAUAUCCUGGGGUGGACUGAGGUUCGCGCAUCUGCAAGGAUGCUGGCGUAAUGGUCAUCAGCGACCCGUCUUGAAACACGGACCA
rnacentral:rRNA from 1 species